rnacentral:rRNA from 1 species
UACGGAAGGCAGCAGUGGGGAAUAUUGCACAAUGGGCGCAAGCCUGAUGCAGCCAUGCCGCGUGUAUGAAGAAGGCCUUCGGGUUGUAAAGUACUUUCAGUCGUGAGGAAGGUGUUAAGGUUAAUAACCUUAGCAAUUGACGUUAGCGACAGAAGAAGCACCGGCUAACUCCGUGCCAGCAGCCGCGGUAAUACGGAGGGUGCGAGCGUUAAUCGGAAUUACUGGGCGUAAAGGGCACGCAGGCGGUUAAUUAAGUUGGAUGUGAAUCCCCGGGCUUAACCUGGGAAUGGCAUUCAAGACUGGUUAGCUAGAGUCUUGUAGAGGGGGUAGAAUUCCAUGUGUAGCGGUGAAAUGCGUAGAGAUGUGGAGGAAUGCCGGUGGCGAAGGCGGCCCCUGGGACAAAGGCUGACGCUCAUGUGCGAAAGCGUGGGGAGCAAACGAGGAUUAGAU